UAGUACGGCGAGUGAGAGGGAAGAGCCCAAGAUUGAAAGCUGGCGUCUUCGGCGUCCGCAUUGUAAUCUCAAGAAGUGUUUUCCGCUUCGGACCAUGCCUAAGUCCCUUGGAAAAGGGCAUCAUAGAGGGUGAUAAUCCCGUACAUGGCAUGGAGCGCCCGAAGCUUUGUGAUACGCUUUCUAAGAGUCGAGUUGUUUGGGAAUGCAGCUCAAAAUGGGUGGUAAAUGCCAUCUAAGGCUAAAUAUUGGGGAGAGACCGAUAGCGAACAAGUACAGUGAUGGAAAGAUGAAAAGAACUUUGAAAAGAGAGUUAAACAGUACGUGAAAUUGCCAAAAGGGAAGGGUAGGAGGUCAGAGAUGCGGCCUGGGAUUCAGCCUUGCUUUUGCUUGGUGUUUUUCCCAGAUUGCAGGCCAACGUCGGUUUUGGGCACUGGAGAAGGGUAGGAGGAACGUGGCACCUCUCGGGGUGUGUUAUAGCCUCCUACUGGAUACAGCGACCGAGACCGAGGACAGCAGCGUACUCGCAAGAGCGGGCCUUCGGGCACCUUUACGCUUAGGGCGUUGGCAUAAUGGCCCUCUACCACCCGUCUU
rnacentral:rRNA from 1 species